rnacentral:rRNA from 1 species
GACGAACGCUGGCGGCGUGCUUAACACAUGCAAGUGGAGCGACGAACCAGGGCUUGCCCUGGGGCAAAGCCGCGAACGGGUGAGUAACACGUGGGUAACCCACCCCGAUGAUUGGGACAACCCCGGGAAACCGGGGCUAAUACCAAAUGUGCUCGAGAUCCAUGAGGACCUCGAGUAAAGAUAGCUUCGGCCUUCGCAUCGGGACGGGCCCGCGGCCCAUUAGCUUGUUGGUGAGGUAACGGCUCACCAAGGCGACGAUGGGUAGCUGGUCUGAGAGGACGAUCAGCCACACUGGGACUGAGACACGGCCCAGACUCCUACGGGAGGCAGCAGUGGGGAAUCUUGCGCAAUGGGCGAAAGCCUGACGCAGCGACGCCGCGUGGGGGAUGAAGGCCUUCGGGUUGUAAACUCCUUUCGCCAUUGACGAAGCCCUUUGGGGUGACGGUAGGUGGAGAAGAAGCACCGGCUAACUACGUGCCAGCCGCCGCCGUAACAC